GGGCGAUUAGCUCAGCGGCCAAGAGCGUCUCCCUUACAAGGAGAAAGUCGGUGGUUCGAGUCCACCAUCGCCCA
rnacentral:tRNA from 1 species